GGUCGAGUAGCUCAGCUGGAUAGAGCAACAGCCUUCUAAGCUGUGGGUCGUGGGUUCGAAUCCCGCCUCGAUCACGA
rnacentral:tRNA from 1 species